rnacentral:rRNA from 1 species
AGCAGCCGCGGUAAUUCCAGCUCCAAUAGCGUAUAUUAAAGUUGUUGCAGUUAAAAAGCUCGUAGUUGAAUUUCGGGGUUAGUAGGUUGGUCAUGCCUCUGGUAUGUACUGGUCUCACUGAUUCCUCCUUCCUGAUGAGCCGUAAUGCCAUUAAUUUGGUGUUGCGGGGAAUUUGAACUGUUACUUUGAAAAAAUUAGAGUGUUUAAAGCAAGCUAACGCUUGAAUACAUUAGCAUGGAAUAAUGAAAUAGGACGUUCGAUCCUAUUUUGUUGGUUUCUAGGAUUGACGUAAUGAUUAAUAGGGAUAGUUGGGGGCAUUAGUAUUCAAUUGUCAGAGGUGAAAUUCUUGGAUUUAUUGAAGACUAACUACUGCGAAAGCAUUUGCCAAGGAUGUUUUCAUUAAUCAAGAACGAAAGUUAGGGGAUCGAAGACGAUCAGAUACCGUCGUAGUCUUAACCAUAAACUAUGCCGACUAGGGAUCGGAUGAUGUUAAUUUUUUUAAUGACUCAUUCGGCGCCUU